rnacentral:rRNA from 1 species
UACGGGGGGUGCGAGCGUUGUCCGGAAUCACUGGGCGUAAAGGGCGCGUAGGUGGUUUGAUAAGGGUGUGGUGAAAGUCCGGAGCUCAACUCCGGAUCUGCCGUGCCGACUGUCAAACUCGAGGACUGUAGAGGCAGACGGAAUUCCGGGUGUAGCGGUGGAAUGCGUAGAGAUCCGGAGGAAGACCGGUGGCGAAGGCGGUCUGCUGGGCAGUUUCUGACACUGAGGCGCGACAGCGUGGGGAGCAAACAGG